GGACUCUGGAGAAGCUCAGCGAUGAGGGCCGAAGGUGCAAGGCGGCGUAAGCCGCUAAUCUCUCAGGCAAAAGGACAGAGGUU
rnacentral:ncRNA from 1 species